rnacentral:rRNA from 1 species
GAUGAACGCUGGCGGCGUGCCUAAUACAUGCAAAUCGAGCGAACAGACGAGGAGCUUGCUCCUCUGACGUUAGCGGCGGACGGGUGAGUAACACGUGGAUAACCUACCUAUAAGACUGGGAUAACUUCGGGAAACCGGAGCUAAUACCGGAUAAUAUAUUGAACCGCAUGGUUCAAUAGUGAAAGACGGUUUUGCUGUCACUUAUAGAUGGAUCCGCGCCGCAUUAGCUAGUUGGUAAGGUAACGGCUUACCAAGGCAACGAUGCGUAGCCGACCUGAGAGGGUGAGCGGCGACACGGGAACUUAGCCACGGUCCAGACUCCUACGGUGGGCACCAUUGGGGAAUCUUCUGAAAUGGGCUAAAGCAUGACAGAGCAACGCUGCUUGAGUGAUGAAGGUGUUCGGAUCUUAAAACUCUGUUAUUAGGGAAGAACAAAGGUGGAAGUAACUAUGCACGUCUGGACGGUACCUAAUCAGAAAGCCCCGGCUAACUACGUG